UGUUAUGGUGGGUCUUUGUUGGGCAACCUUCGGGUUGGCCGUUCCUGUGGCGGUAGUUCGAACCCGAUUUAGAUCCACCACCUUA
rnacentral:antisense_RNA from 1 species